GUGGGGAAUAUUGGACAAUGGGCGAAAGCCUGAUCCAGCCAUGCCGCGUGUGUGAAGAAGGUCUUCGGAUUGUAAAGCACUUUAAGUUGGGAGGAAGGGCAGUAAGUUAAUACCUUGCUGUUUUGACGUUACCGACAGAAUAAGCACCGGCUAACUUCGUGCCAGCAGCCGCGGUAAUACGAAGGGUGCAAGCGUUAAUCGGAAUUACUGGGCUUAAAGCGCGCGUAGGUGGUUCAGCAAGUUGGAGGUGAAAUCCCCGGGCUCAACCUGGGAACUGCCUCAAAAACUACUGAGCUAGAGUACGGUAGAGGGUAGUGGAAUUUCCUGUGUAGCGGUGAAAUGCGUAGAUAUAGGAAGGAACACCAGUGGCGAAGGCGACUACCUGGACUGAUACUGACACUGAGGUGCGAAAGCGUGGGGAGCAAACAGGAUUAGAAACCCGAGUAGUCC
rnacentral:rRNA from 1 species